AUUUUCAACUUCAGCAAUACCCCAAGGAUGCUGCUUUCCUCUGAUCAUUUUGCCAUUAACUUCGAUGAUAGUAUUACUACCUACUACACCAACAGUGCGACAACGCAAAAGGGUUGAAAGCCUUCUACGAUGCAAUAAAAUACGGGCCGAACCACUUGAUGGUGUUUGGAGGCGUCUGUCCAUCCGUCACGUCCAUCAUUGCAGAGUCCCUCCAAGGCUGGAAUCUGGUGCAGCUUUCUUUUGCUGCAACCACGCCUGUUCUAGCCGAUAAGAAAAAAUACCCUUAUUUCUUUCGGACCGUCCCAUCAGACAAUGCGGUGAAUCCAGCCAUUCUGAAGUUGCUCAAGCACUACCAGUGGAAGCGCGUGGGCACGCUGACGCAAGACGUUCAGAGGUUCUCUGAGGUGCGGAAUGACCUGACUGGAGUUCUGUAUGGCGAAGACAUUGAGAUUUCAGACACCGAGAGCUUCUCCAACGAUCCCUGUACCAGUGUCAAAAAGCUGAAGGGGAAUGAUGUGCGGAUCAUCCUUGGCCAGUUUGACCAGAAUAUGGCAGCAAAAGUGUUCUGUUGUGCAUACGAGGA
rnacentral:sRNA from 1 species